AACUGAUACUACCUGCGGGAACCUGCGGAAGGAUCAUUACAUGGCGGAGAAGGUGGGCAACCUGGCCAACAUCCAGGUUGUGAUGCCUUCACGCUCUUCCACCCUUGUCUAUUUGCACCUUCUGUCGUUCCCUCGGCGGGUUUCGACCCGCCGGCGGCAACAUUGAAAAACCCUUUUUGCAGUUAGCAUUCAAUUCUUCUGAUCAAAUAUUAAAUCAUUACAACUUUUAACAAUGGAUCU
rnacentral:misc_RNA from 1 species